rnacentral:rRNA from 1 species
GCGUUGCUCGGAAUCACUGGGCGCAAAGCGCACGUAGGCGGAUCUUUAAGUCAGGGGUGAAAUCCUGGAGCUCAACUCCAGAACUGCCCUUGAUACUGGGGAUCUUGAGUCCGGAAGAGGUGAGUGGAACUCCGAGUGUAGAGGUGAAAUUCGUAGAUAUUCGGAAGAACACCAGUGGCGAAGGCGGCUCACUGGUCCGGUACUGACGCUGAGGUGCGCAAGCUAGGGGAGCAAACGGG